AUUGAACGCUGGCGGCAUGCCUUACACAUGCAAGUCGAACGGUAGAGGGGCAACCCUUGAGAGUGGCGAACGGGUGAGUAAUAUAUCGGAACGUGCCCAGUCGUGGGGGAUAACGCAGCGAAAGCUGCGCUAAUACCGCAUACGAUCUAUGGAUGAAAGCGGGGGAUCGCAAGACCUCGCGCGAUUGGAGCGGCCGAUAUCAGAUUAGGUAGUUGGUGGGGUAAAAGCCCACCAAGCCGACGAUCUGUAGCUGGUCUGAGAGGACGACCAGCCACACUGGGACUGAGACACGGCCCAGACUCCUACGGGAGGCAGCAGUGGGGAAUUUUGGACAAUGGGCGCAAGCCUGAUCCAGCAAUGCCGCGUGCAGGACGAAGGCCUUCGGGUUGUAAACUGCUUUUGUACGGAGCGAAACGGUCUGGGUUAAUACCCUGGGCUAAUGACGGUACCGUAAGAAUAAGCACCGGCUAACUACGUG
rnacentral:rRNA from 1 species